GACGAACGCUGGCGGCGUGCUUAACACAUGCAAGUCGAACGGAAAGGCCCUGCUUUUGUGGUGUGCUCGAGUGGCGAACGGGUGAGUAACACGUGAGUAACCUGCCCUUGACUUUGGGAUAACUUCAGGAAACUGGGGCUAAUACCGGAUAGGAGCUCCUGCUGCAUGGUGGGGGUGGGAAAGUUUCGGCGGUUGUGGAUGGACUCGCGGCUUAUCAGCUUGUUGGUGGGGUAGUGGCUUACCAAGGCUUUGGCGGGUAGCCGGCCUGGGAGGGUGGCCGGCCACAUUGGGACUGAGGUACGGCCCAGACUCCUACGGGCGGCAGCAGUGGGGAAUCUUGCACAAUGGGCGGAAGCCUGAUGCAGCAACGCCGCGUGCGGGAUGACGGCCUUCGGGUUGUAAACCGCUUUCGCCUGUGACGAAGCGUGAGUGACGGUAAUGGGUAAAGAAGCACCGGCUAACUACGUG
rnacentral:rRNA from 1 species